GCAUGCCUCUUUGCAUUUCUUGAGCCUGACAAGUGCCUCUCCAUGAUUUGACGAACAAUUUUGCUAGUUACCAAGGUAAUGGUGACUUUUAUUUGUGAACCGCGUAUAAAUUUACCCUUCAAAUCAAUUUCACUUUACUAUUUUCCCAAUUUCUUCAGCAAAUCCUUCAAUUCUCUGCAACUUCUCCUCCUAACAAAACUUUUGAUUUUCGACAGCAAACUUCUCUACUUCUUCCAUUACACUUUGAUUUAUCCCAUCAUGUCUUCUGCUAUUUCUAUCUGCGAUAACUUAUUUAUUGUCAUUAAAUAAUACGACAUCACGGUAGCCAUGACUUCAUCCCUUCCAUCAAACGCCGGUGCCAGGACUUCCAUUGGCGGGGGACUGUCCAAGAAAAGCAAACCCAAAGGUUUUGACACUGAGCCUCCUACUACAGCCACGACCAUUCCUAAAGAAUGGUCUUUUAACAAGUAUCUUCAUAUCCAGAACCCAUCCUCUGAUCCAAACAAUGACAGUGAUAGAGCAUUCAGCAAGUAUCCUUCAUCCAUUUAGCCGACCAGUAUGCCUAUUGAGAAGGAGGACUGCGACUGGAACAAUAUUGAGGUUUUGGCCCUCGUUGACUUGGAGAUGGUGAAUUUCAUCAAACUAGGGUAUGUUCUUAUUUAUAUAUAGCCUUUUACCCUCAGUCUUUGAAAGGAGAUUGACCUUGUUAUCCUCGAGGUUUGCCGGAAUUACCAAAUCUGUUUUGCUCAAGUCGGUCCGGUAAUAUGGCAUAUGGUAGCGUGCCUCCGGUACCUAUCCUCCCAGGCACAAAAAGAUCUCACCCUUGCGCAUCUAAUGCAUCUUUAUGAUCCCAAAAUCUUUCGAGGAGGCGUCAUCAAACUUAGUAAAUAUAUUCACAUUGACAUCAUCACCAUCAUAAAGGAUGAAAACGAUCGUGGUUGGAUGGAGGGAUUUGUUGUCAUCGCUCCCGGGGACAUUGUAUCCUUGUCAGAAUAUCUAAUUCCUCAAACUUGGAACUCCACACCUUGAAAGAAAUUUCAAUAAAGAAAACUGAAAGUGCAAGAAUCAUGGCCUUACCAAUGGGUCAUCUAUCUGUUUGAUCAUCAAAGUUUUGCUCGACCCAAAGGUAGUCUAAAAAUAACUUCAGCAAGUCCUUGACCGGAAAAGGGCUUGUAAUGCAGCAUCUGCUUCAGGUGAAGCUGCCUCAUCUGUCAGUCUCCAAACCCAAGAGAAUGAGGCUAGAAGAAAACACUCUUCUUAAGUUGGGGAGAAGGUGCAGCAUCCGAUCGCAGAAGAAAUUUCUGAAGGGCAUGAUACAGUGGUCCUUGAAACCAAAGAGGAUGCUGAAAUGGUUUCUCUUCAAAGACGAAGAAGAAAUGAUAGAGCUCCAAUAGUCCACUCAGAUGAAGCGAAUAGACUCUUUCAAGAGUCUGAAUUGGAUGAAUAAUUGACUCUUCCUUCCGGGCUUCAUUUACUUCUACUGGUCAGAAGGGUAUUACUCAAAGUACUGCCCCAACUCCUGAUCUACCACCGAUCGCUGCUGAUCGAGAAUAAGAUAUCCGUUCUCCCAGUCACCAGACCAUGAAAACAUAGAAAAUGCCUUUCCGACUUCAAUCCGAGAUCCUAAUGUUAAACAUAGUGUUACUAUUACAGUUCCGGAUGAAUGUCACAUUCUUUCCAAAUUGGUUGGGGUAGCCAAUUGUAUGAAACCGCUGGCUACAGAGAAAGGCUGGAAGAAAAUGGAUGCUCUUUCUACUGAGUGUAAACCCAACAAUAACAUGCACCUUUCUGCUUAAGUACCUCUUCGAUUCAUCUCUUUUUCUCUGUUCGUAUCAUUUACUUAUUUCUCUGGUAACCUUACAAUUUACCUUUCAGGCUAACCUUCUUACUUCCAAGGGUCUCCAAAGGAUAAUAAUAGAGAAGGAAGAACUUCGAUCGGAGCGGGACCAACUUGCUAAGCGCCUUCCAGCCUUAGAAGCUAAACUUACACAAAUGGAAGAGCUCGAGGCUCGGGAGCAAACAGAGCAAGAAAAAAGAGCUCAGCGUCAAGAAGUGACUCAGUUAUAUGCUGAACUUGCUGAACUAAAAGGAGUAGGCAGAGUUACAUGAUGCUCUUACUUCAGCUGUUGCACGAGAGUCUGCUUCCAUGGAAAGGGUUUGAACCUUGAAUGUUGACUUGUGCUCUAAAACCGAGAAAGCUACUACGGUCGAAGAGAAAAGGGCCAAAAUAGAGGAAAGACUCCGAAAGGUCAUGGAACAAAAUCAUAAACGCGCAUAAAGUAGUUCUGACUUGGCGGAGGCCUACAAGAUUUUAAUGUUUGACCACGAGUGGCUGUAGUUGAAGAAUCAAGAACUUCAAACAAGAUUCCGAGCUCAAAAGGACUCAUUCGUGCUUGAAAAAACUUAUGUUGUUUACAUCAUGCAAAGGAAGACUAUGGAGGAUGCCAAUAUUGACAUUGAAAAUAUAGAUGACUACAUUGCCGAGGCUCGUGCUCUAAAAACAACCUUUUUUGAAAAUAUACUUGUCGGGCCUACUGCUUCAAGUUCUUCAUAGACCUGCUACGAGUCUUCUGAACUUGAAGAAGAAGAUGAAGAAGAUGUUGAGCAUGCUGAUGAAGAAUCAUAUGAGCAACCUUCGGCUCCGGAGAAUGUGAGCCCGGGGAAUGCUCCAACCUUCGAAGCCUCCCAACCCUCAACAUAUGCUAAUAAGGCAGAUUAGUUUAUCUUGUAAAUUCUUUUUCUUAAAACUCUUGUAUUUGUUCUUGGCUUUCUUUUGGGGCCCAAAACUUUGAAAUAAAAGAGAUUUU